CUGAAAGGGAGAUUAAUACAAGAUGUUUAAGCAUUCGUAAAGGUUUCCGGUGUAAGAUGGGGAUGCGUUCCAUUAGAUAGUAGGCGGGGUAACGGCCCACCUAGUCUUCGAUGGAUAGGGGUUCUGAGAGGAAGGUCCCCCACAUUGGAACUGAGACACGGUCCAAACUCUACGGGAGGCAGCAGUGAGGAAUAUUGGUCAAUGGACGAGAGUCUGAACCAGCCAAGUAGCGUGAAGGAUGAAGGUUUAUGGAUUGUAAACUUCUUUUAUACGGGAAUAACGGAUCCACGCGUGGAUUUCUGCAUGUACCGUAUGAAUAAGGAUCGGCUAACUCCGUGCCAGCAGCCGCGGUAAUACGGAGGAUCCGAGCGUUAUCCGGAUUUAUUGGGUUUAAAGGGAGCGUAGAUGGGUUGUUAAGUCAGUUGUGAAAGUUUGCGGCUCAACCGUAAAAUUGCAAUUGAUACUGGCAGUCUUGAGUACAGUUGAGGUAGGCGGAAUUCGUGGUGUAGCGGUGAAAUGCUUAGAUAUCACGAAGAACUCCGAUUGCGAAGGCAGCUUACUAACCUGUAACUGACAUUGAUGCUCGAAAGUGUGGGUAU
rnacentral:rRNA from 1 species